rnacentral:lncRNA from 1 species
UUAGUAGAGAUGGAUUUCACCAUGUUGGCCCGGCUAGUCUUGAACUCCUGACCUCAGGUGAUCCAUCCACCUCAGCUUCUCAAAGUGCUGGGAUUACAAGCGUGAGCCACAGCACCCGGCCCAGCAUUGUUCUUUAGUUUAUUCCCUCUUCUAUUCCCUUGAGACUUUCCCAUUGGUUUGAAAAGAAUUAUGAUUUAGCCACAUAAACUAAUAAAAAGAGAGCAAGCAUAUUUUUGUAAAUUUGUAAUCCUGGGGCAAUAUCAAUAGAAUUUUUUUUAUAAAAUGAAUGAUUUCACUACUCCAGAAGCGGAAUGUAAACUCUAUACAUAACCAGAACAUGGAAUUAACAGGACUCAUGGGUGUAUCCAUAAAAGCAACUGAAUUUUUAGUCUUCUGCUGUCCCGUUAAUAAUCUGUUCCAUGAGGAUAGUUCUUCCUCUUCCACAGAAUGAAACUCAGGCAGUCCCAUAACUUUUUUAUUCUCUCAGGUAAUAGAAAAUCCUGUUACUUUAAGAGGAAAAACCCUGCUCUUAAUUCAGUAAUUCAAAUCUUGUCCCCUUCCCCAACAGGGUCUCCUAUGGACAGAAGUGCGGGCAAGGAGCUUUGUUCCUCCCCGAUGUCACCCUCCCACAGCCCACUUGCUAGCAGGCGAGAGAGGGGUGGAGGCCGGCAGUAAGGCAUGUACUGAACUGGACCUCUGGUGGAAUGGCAUCACCCACGCUGGGCUUGACUCUUACCAUCAGGGUCCUGCCAACCCUUCAGUGAGACUUUUUCCAAAGAAUCCCUUUUAAAAUGACCUCAAGCUGACCUUCCUGCUGCAGAUUCCACAUAUGGUAUCUGAGACUCACACAGUGUGGUUGGAAGAUAGUACAGUGACCUCCCAGGCACAGCCCGCUGCCAGCCCUCCACUGGCUGCCCUAGGAUGCUGGCCUUCCUCCGAUGGGAGUCGGGCCCAGUCUGCUGUCAGCCAGGAGAAGCCAGCAAGCUCCCUGCGAGGCCUGGAGGAGCCCUUCUCACUCAGCUUGGUGUUCGAUGCCAGUGCCCCCGCCCAUUGUGGGGUGAGGGUGGGACUCUCAGCACAGCCCUGUCCAAAUAAAUCCUCU